rnacentral:rRNA from 1 species
GCCUUGACAUGGAUGCAAAGGCUCUAGAGAUAGAGAGAUAAUUAUGGAUCACACAGGUGGUGCAUGGUUGUCAUCAGCUCGUGUCGUGAGAUGUUGGGUUAAGUCCCGCAACGAGCGCAACCCUUGUCGCAUGUUACCAGCAUCAAGUUGGGGACUCAUGCGAGACUGCCGGUGACAAACCGGAGGAAGGUGGGGAUGACGUCAAAUCAUCAUGCCCCUUAUGGCCUGGGCUACACACGUACUACAAUGGCGACCACAAAGAGCAGCGACACGGUGAUAAGAAGCGAAUCUCAUAAAGGCCGUCUCAGUUCGGAUUGAAGUCUGCAACUCGACUUCAUGAAGUCGGAAUCGCUAGUAAUCGCAGAUCAGCAUGCUGCGGUGAAUACGUUCUCGGGCCUUGUACACACCG